CAAGGAGUAGCUUACACAAAGCAUUUAACUUACAAUUAAAAAACGUCCUUUAUGGACCCCCUUGA
rnacentral:tRNA from 1 species